UUAAUACGAUAAUCCGCGUAAAAUCUUACCAUGGCUUGAAUAUAACUUUUCUAAGAAUAUUUCACGUAAAAAUAUUCAUUUGUUAAAAAUAAUUAACGGAGAAAAGGAAUAAUUGCUAUUAUUCAUUUACAGGUGUUGCAUGGCUGUCGUCGGUUCGUAUCGUGAGAUGUUUGGUUAAUUCCGCUAACGAACGCAAUCCCUAUUGUUAAUUUAUACUUAACACUGGCUUACCCUAAAAAAGGGAAGUUGUUUGGGGCUAUGACAAGCCGUUAUGACCCUUAUGCCGUGGGCU
rnacentral:ncRNA from 1 species